GAUGAACGCUAGCUACAGGCUUAACACAUGCAAGUCGAGGGGAAACGAUGAGAGAGCUUGCUCUCUUAGGCGUCGACCGGCGCACGGGUGAGUAACGCGUAUCCAACCUACCCAUUACAGGGGGAUAACCUUGCGAAAGUAAGACUAAUACCCCAUGGCAUUUUAUGGUGGCAUCAUUAUAGGAUUAAAGAUUUAUUGGUAAUGGAUGGGGAUGCAUCUGAUUAGCCUGUUGGCGGGGUAACGGCCCACCAAGGCAACGAUCAGUAGGGGUUCUGAGAGGAAGGUCCCCCACAUUGGAACUGAGACACGGUCCAAACUCCUACGGGAGGCAGCAGUGAGGAAUAUUGGUCAAUGGGCGAGAGCUUGAACCAGCCAAGUAGCGUGCAGGAUGACGGCCCUAUGGGUUGUAAACUGCUUUUAUAGGGGAAUAAAGUGAGCUACGUGUAGUUUAUUGCAUGUACCCUAUGAAUAAGGACCGGCUAAUUCCGUG
rnacentral:rRNA from 1 species